rnacentral:rRNA from 1 species
UACGUAGGUGGCAAGCGUUGUCCGGAUUUAUUGGGUUUAAAGGGUGCGUAGGCGGUCUACUAAGUCAGUGGUGAAAUACUCCAGCUUAACUGGAGGGGUGCCAUUGAUACUGAUGGACUUGAGUGAAGUCGAGGUAGGCGGAAUUGACGGUGUAGCGGUGAAAUGCUUAGAUAUCGUCAAGAACACCAAUAGUGAAGACAGCUUACUAGGCUUAUACUGACGCUGAGGCACGAAAGUGUGGGGAUCAAACAGG